rnacentral:misc_RNA from 1 species
GUGCAUAGAUUAUAGGAAAUUGAAUAGUGUCACCAAAAAGAACCAUUUUCCUCUUCCUUUCAUAGACUCAAUGUUAGAAAUAUUAGUAAAACAUUCCUACUUCUGCUAUCAAGAUAGGUAUUCGGGAUUUUUCCAAAUUCUUAUCCACCCAGAAGACCAACAAAAGACCACAAUCACAUGCUCUUACGGAACAUUUGCAUAUAGAAGAAUGCUCUUUGGUCUUU